GGUUUGAUCGUGGCUCAGGAUGAACGCUGGCGGCGUGCCUAACACAUGCAAGUCGAACGGAGUUCUUAAGGAAUGCGACUUCGGUCAGAUGACUUUUGAACUUAGUGGCGGACGGGUGAGUAACGCGUGAGCAACCUGCCUUUCAGAGGGGGAUAACAUUUGGAAACAGAUGCUAAUACCGCAUAAGAUUACAGUACCGCAUGAUACAGUGAUCAAAGGAGCAAUCCGCUGAAAGAUGGGCUCGCGUCCGAUUAGAUAGUUGGUGAGGUAACGGCUCACCAAGUCGACGAUCGGUAGCCGGACUGAGAGGUUGAACGGCCACAUUGGGACUGAGACACGGCCCAGACUCC
rnacentral:rRNA from 1 species